rnacentral:rRNA from 1 species
AGUGAACGCUGGCGGUAGGCCUAACACAUGCAAGUCGAACGGCAGCACAGGAGAGCUUGCUCUCUGGGUGGCGAGUGGCGGACGGGUGAGGAAUACAUCGGAAUCUACUUUUUCGUGGGGGAGAACGUAGGGAAACUUACGCUAAUACCGCAUACGACCUACGGGUGAAAGCAGGGAACCUUCGGGCCUUGCGCGAUUGAAUGAGCCUAUGUCGGAUUAGCUAGUUGGCGGGGUAAAGGCCCACCAAGGCGAAGAUCCGUAGCUGGUCUGAGAGGAUGAUCAGCCACACUGGAACUGAGACACGGUCCAGACUCCUACGGGAGGCAGCAGUGGGGAAUAUUGGACAAUGGGCGCAAGCCUGAUCCAGCCAUACCGCGUGGGUGAAGAAGGCAUUCGGGUUGUAAAGCCCUUUUGUUGGGAAAGAAAUCCAGCCGGCUAAUACCUGGUUGGGAUGACGGUACCCAAAGAAUAAGCACCGGCUAACUUCGUGCCAGCCGCCGCAGUAA